rnacentral:rRNA from 1 species
UACGAAGGGGGCUAGCGUUGCUCGGAAUCACUGGGCGUAAAGGGUGCGUAGGCGGGUCUUUAAGUCAGGGGUGAAAUCCUGGAGCUCAACUCCAGAACUGCCUUUGAUACUGAAGAUCUUGAGUUCGGGAGAGGUGAGUGGAACUGCGAGUGUAGAGGUGAAAUUCGUAGAUAUUGGGAGGAACACCGGUGGCGAAGGCGACCACCUGGACGGAGAUUGACGCUGAGGCGCGAAAGCGUGGGUAGCAAACAGG